AAAUGAAUUUGCUUAGUGCACCACAUGUGUUUUUCUUUGAAACAAACUUGCUUUGGCGGUGGGCCCAGCCUGCCGCCAGAGGUCUAAACUUACAACCAAUUUUUUAUCAACUUGUCACACCAGAUUAUUACUAAUAGUCAAAACUUUCAACAACGGAUCUCUUGGUUCUCGCAUCGAUGAAGAACGCAGCGAAAUGCGAUACGUAAUAUGAAUUGCAGAUAUUCGUGAAUCAUCGAAUCUUUGAACGCACAUUGCGCCCUCUGGUAUUCCGGAGGGCAUGCCUGUUUGAGCGUCGUUUCUCCCUCAAACCGCUGGGUUUGGUGUUGAGCAAUACGACUUGGGUUUGCUUGAAAGACGGUAGUGGUAAGGCGGGAUCGCUUUGACAAUGGCUUAGGUCUAACCAAAAACAUUGUUUGCGGCGGUAACGUCCACCACGUAUAUCUUCAAACUUUGACCUCAAAUCAGGUAGGACUACCCGCUGAACUUAAGCAUAUCAAUAAGCGGAGGAA
rnacentral:rRNA from 1 species